rnacentral:rRNA from 1 species
AUAUUAAAGUUGUUGCAGUUAAAAAGCUCGUAGUUGGAUUUCUGUUAAUAAUUUAUAUAAAAUAUUUUGAUGAAUAUUUAUAUAAUAUUAACAUAAUUCAUAUUACUAUUUUUUUUUUUAGUAUAUGAAAUUUUACUUUGAGAAAAUUAGAGUGCUUAAAGCAGGCAUAUGCCUUGAAUACUCCAGCAUGGAAUAAUAUUAAAGAUUUUUAUCUUUUUUAUUGGUUCUAAGAUAAGAAUAAUGAUUAAUAGGGACAGUUGGGGGCAUUUGUAUUUAACAGUCAGAGGUGAAAUUCUUAGAUUUGUUAAAGACAAACUAAUGCGAAAGCAUUUGCCAAGGAUGUUUUCAUUAAUCAAGAACGAAAGUUAGGGGAUCGAAGACGAUCAGAUACCGUCGUAGUCUUAACCAUAAAC